rnacentral:rRNA from 1 species
GAUGAACGCUGGCGGCGUGCCUAAUACAUGCAAGUCGAGCGAACAGACGAGGAGCUUGCUCCUCUGACGUUAGCGGCGGACGGGUGAGUAACACGUGGAUAACCUACCUAUAAGACUGGGAUAACUUCGGGAAACCGGAGCUAAUACCGGAUAAUAUAUUGAACCGCAUGGUUCAAUAGUGAAAGACGGUUUUGCUGUCACUUAUAGAUGGAUCCGCGCCGCAUUAGCUAGUUGGUAAGGUAACGGCUUACCAAGGCAACGAUGCGUAGCCGACCUGAGAGGGGGGAUCGGCCACCUUGAACCUAGGAACCGUUCAGACCCCCUAGGGAGGGCGGCGGUGGGAAUUCUUCCGAAUGGGGCGAAAGCCUACCGAGGCACCGCGCCGGGGGUGAGGAGGUCCUCCGGUUCGUAAACCCCUGUUAUUGGGGAGAAAAAAAUGUGUAGGUAACGAUGCACGUCUGAAGGGAACCAAAGCAGAAGGCCCCGCCUACCUCCUG